rnacentral:rRNA from 1 species
CUCUAGUCUGACUCUGUGAAGAGACAUGAGAUGUGUAGCAUAAGUGGGAGGUCACGGGAUACGGCCUCGUUUCGGCGGGGUCCUCGUGGCCGCCAGUGAAAUACCACUACUCUCAUCGUUUCUUUACUUACUCGGUGGAGCGGGAAGCGGACCAAUGAGUUGUCCACGCUUCUAGCGCCAAGCGACGGGCCCCCGGUGUCCUUGUAUAUCACGGACAAGAG